AUUUUUGAUACAAUCUUCUGGAACUUGGGACCAGUACAAUUUAUAGCUCAAAGUUUGUCCAAUGCAGUAAAAAGGAAUAAUACUAGACAAGAUUAGGAUAAUUGUGUUGCAAUAUGGAACAGAAACUCUAAUAUACCCCUAUUAAUCGAUAUAAAUUGCUGAGAUGUAAAUGAAAAAUGGCAAAAAGUUCUUAACUUUCCGGUGUAAGAUAAUACAUGCUUCAUCAUUCUCAAGAGAUCCUACAAGGUCUUCUGGGAUACCACAUUGCCCUACCACAUCUGUAAAGCAUUCUGUACGACCGUCGUACUAGCUUCCUACUCGCACUUGAUUGACCGGUAUAUAUGACGGACAAAAAAUAGGGCUGCACGGAAACCCACAGUCCCCAGCAUGAGGAAGAAACCAUAGCAGAUGCAAGCCAUGUAUCCAAAGAAGAAUGAGGUUUGCAUGAAGCCAG
rnacentral:misc_RNA from 1 species